GGAAUAUUGGACAAUGGCCGAGAGGCUGAUCCAGCCAUGCCGCGUGCGGGAGGACGGCCCUAUGGGUUGUAAACCGCUUUUGUUGGGGAGCAAUAAGGUCUACGUGUAGACUGAUGAGAGUACCCAGCGAAUAAGCAUCGGCUAACUCCGUGCCAGCAGCCGCGGUAAUACGGGGGAUACGAGCGUUAUCCGGAUUUAUUGGGUUUAAAGGGUGCGCAGGCGGACCGGUAAGUCAGGGGUGAAAAGUCGGGGCUCAACUCCGAUCGUGCCUUUGAUACUGCCGGACUGGAGUGCGAUAGGCGUGGCCGGAAUGUGGUGUGUAGCGGUGAAAUGCUUAGCUAUGCCACAGAACACCGAUCGAGAAGUCAGGUCACGAGUUCGCAACUGACGCUCAUGCACGAAAGCGUGGGGAUCAAACA
rnacentral:rRNA from 1 species